AGAUUGAACGCUGGCGGCAUGCCUAACACAUGCAAGUCGAACGGGAGUAGCAAUACUCUAGUGGCGGACGGGUGAGGAAUACGUAGGAAUUUGCCCUUAAGUGGGGGAUAACCCGGGGAAACCCGGAUUAAUACCGCAUGACCUCGAAAGAGCAAAGUGGGGGAUCGCAAGACCUCACGUCUUUUGGAGAAGCCUACGUCGGAUUAGCUAGUUGGUGAGGUAAUGGCUCACCAAGGCGACGAUCCGUAACUGGUCUGAGAGGAUGAUCAGUCACACCGGAACUGACGAC
rnacentral:rRNA from 1 species